rnacentral:misc_RNA from 1 species
CCACCAGUAUUCAAAUAUUUAUGUAUUAUAGCUUACACAGAUUGUUAAACCAAAGUUAACGUCAACCUUGAGAUUUGUGUUUAUGGAUGUUAUCCUACAGGAUGAUUAUAAACAUCGCAGUUUAUGCAAGAUUUGCAAAAUGUACGUGGCUGGAAUAGCAUGGAUAUCGAUAGUACUUUAUGCAUCAUUCAUAUAAGUUAUAAUUGUGGGAACUUACAGUCAGAAGGAUGUCGUUCAACUUGCAAUUACCAGAGCACACUUGAGGGAUAACUCGAGUUAUAGUGCAUCCAGUCUGAACUAUGGUAAGGUCCCGGUUGAACAUCAGAUGGAAUGGAAAAACUCGGCAAAAGGUCAUAGGGCUCACUUUUGGUUCUACGGCAUCGACAGAUAAGGUUUCAAGUUCCGCGAUCAUGGGAUUUGAAACGACCCCAGGACCGGAUGUGUUCGUGAUCAAAAACUGCACGUGGUCGCAUUCGUUUUUCGUCUUCAAUAUCCGCAUUUCUAUAUCCGUGCCGUGAAGCUUCUUCGCCACAGUCUAAGAUCGAUAAAAUUUAUAACCGAUUUAAUAACCGUUUGCUUUUAUCUGAAUGAAUUUUAGGGUGGAAAUUAAAUAUUACAGGUUGGUUAAUUCAGACAGUCGUUCUCUCUAAAAUACGCGCAGUUCAAAAUUCAGGAUCUUAUGGCGGAAAAUUAGAUUUGGAUAAAUAGAGCACGAGAUCUUCGUGCUGUGGAAGAUACUGCCACUCUCUUUUAUUUCCCAUCCAUUUCAAUCUCUAUAAUUGCUGUUUGUACUCGUAUUUGAUAUCAUUAAAGAAAUACAAUAUGGAUCGAGAUUUCUUUCAUUAAUUUUAUUUCAAUUUCGAUACUUCCUACAGUCUUGCACGUUAUACGCAUUAUGUCCAUUUUUUGCACAUCUGAAUUUUCUAUGAACUCAUAAACAUUCGCAGUUUACUCCGUAAUUUAAAAACUUCAAAUUGCAAAAAUGUAAGACCAUAAAGGAAGAACAUUACUUUUUUAAGUAUUAACAAACUACGAUGCUCAAUUUUCACCCGAUAUAUCUUUGAACGAUAAAAAUACCUUGACGAUACCAAUCACAAUGUGUUCCAAACCAGGUCGAUCGGAGUAAUAAUGUAAUAUGAGCGCUCCAUCCCCUGGUCUCUCGGUGCACCGAAAAGAGGGCGCCCUCAUUCCCGGAUACAAAGUGCCUAAAUGAUCGUGAAGGGCGUCCAAGUUCUGUAAUUAAAGGUUACACGGUCCCCUGUCAAUCUAUCUGUGCUCUCGCCAUUAUCGAACAUCGCGUUCCGCCUAACUAAAACAUUCCUAUGUCCCUAAUUUAUUUUCGAUUGCCACUUUGCG